rnacentral:rRNA from 1 species
AUGAAGGCGCUCUGCGUCGUAAACUUCUUUACUCGGAAAAUUGUUGGGUUUCUACCCGACUUGAUUGUACCGAGAGAAUAAGGACCGGCUAACUUCGUGC